CGGCUGACGGGUGAGUAAUGCAUGGGAAUCUGCCUGGUAGUGGGGGACAACGUCUCGAAAGGGACGCUAAUACCGCAUACGCCCUACGGGGGAAAGGAGGGGAUCUUCGGACCUUUCGCUAUCAGAUGAGCCCAUGUCGGAUUAGCUAGUUGGUGGGGUAAAGGCCUACCAAGGCGACGAUCCGUAACUGGUCUGAGAGGAUGAUCAGUCACACUGGAACUGAGACACGGUCCAGACUCCUACGGGAGGCAGCAGUGGGGAAUAUUGGACAAUGGGCGAAAGCCUGAUCCAGCCAUGCCGCGUGUGUGAAGAAGGCCUUAGGGUUGUAAAGCACUUUCAGUGGGGAGGAAGGCUGUUUACCUAAUACGUAAGCAGAUUGACGUUACCCACAGAAGAAGCACCGGCUAACUCCGUGCCAGCAGCCGCGGUAAUACGGAGGGUGCAAGCGUUAAUCGGAAUUACUGGGCGUAAAGCGCACGUAGGUGGUUUGUUAAGCUAGCUGUGAAAUCCCCGGGCUCAACCUGGGCACUGCAGUUAGAACUGGCAAGCUAGAGUAGGGUAGAGGGGUGUGGAAUUCCAGGUGUAGCGGUGAAAUGCGUAGAUAUCUGGGAGGAACAUCGUGGCGAAGGCGACACCCUGGACUUAUACUG
rnacentral:rRNA from 2 species